rnacentral:lncRNA from 1 species
GUGAUAGCCGCCUGUGGACUGUGGUAGACUAAAUUUAAGCCUGAAAAUAGAAGUAGUUGCUACAUCCUACUUGCUACCUACGUACGGAUUAAUUGUAAUUGUUCUUACUACUAUAUCUGAAUGAGAUAAAAAGUCGUUACUUCUGACGAGGACACAAUCGAUCUUGGCCGAGAUUACCUGGGGAUGACAGUUUGUAUUUUAAGUGUCUGACGUUUAUGAGCGAUGACUUCAACAGAUGAAAAUUAGAAAACGAAGAAGUGAAGAUGGGUGUCCAGAGGCGGAUUUAGCAUUAUAAUCUCUUGGUUAUAAUGUUCUUGUUGCCCUUUUAGGUGUUGUCGCUUGCUUUUACUCGCAAUUAGUAACCGGGUGUUAAAAAUGGAGCGUGACUUCAAACUCUAAUUUAUCGGUCGUGGUAGGAGAAUUGCUAACGAUCUUUCCCGUAUUCGCGCCCAAGACAAAGUAAUGCGAUUUAAUGAAAUGAUGCGAUGAAGUGAAAUUCAGGGAAGAAAAGCCCUGAAAAUUUAGUUCCCGAUUCUCUUUAUCAUACCCCAAAACGGGACAAAAGAAUCCGUAACCGAAAUUGAAAUACUGCAUUUAAUGGAAAUGUUCGAUGUCAAUUUGAUUUCAUUCUUGAAAAAACAUAACUCGAAAGGAAAUAAAAAAACAAAAAGGCAUCAUUUCUUAAUUGUCAUUCAACAACUGUGAAAGAAGUGCAUUUUGAAUAUUGAUUGGAAGAAAAUCUUAAUUUGGAAGAUUUGAAUAUAGUAGGACAAAACUAUACAGAAUACGCUACAGAUAAUACAAUGCAAGACAAUUCUAACAGCGGAGAUACUACUACAUCAAUAAUCUCUACACAGGAUGAAAAUUUCACAGAACUUUCAGAUAUUUUGUACAGAUGCGAUGCAGCCGUCCUCCUAAAUGAAGUCUUCGGGCAGAGAUCAAGAAUCUUUGAGUAACGAAGUUUUAUUAAUUGUCAAUGAUCAUUUUAGAGACUCCAUGUUCAAGAUGAUCGUUUUGAUAUUUUUGGAAAAUUUGUUGCAUGAAAUUGCGUGGUUUCCAAGACAACAAAUGCUGAUAUCUGAAAAACUGAUAAACGAAACUUUGUUUCAACUUUAUUUCACAAAUUGGUUUAUGAAGCUCAACACGUGUCACAGCAAUUUAUUCGAUACCAAUCAUCAAUUUCUAGCUCAUCUUUUUCAUAUUCAGGUAUUUCCAGUCCCUCUUCAGCACUUCCGUCCAACUACAUCAGGAGCAAGAACAAUAUCAGAAAGGAUAAUCUCAAUAAUCACCAUGUUAAAAUGAGAGUUUCAUUUGUUUUAAAUUUUAAUGUUAAUGUGAUUUGGCAUUUUCUACAUUAUGACAAUAAAGUAACACUAUCUAUUAAAAAGAAAAAUUUGUUCUUACCUUUUUAAAUAAUCUUUAUGAAGGACUUUGUAAAUUGCUUGUUUGUUAAAAUAUGGCAACGCAACUAGGGGGUGCCUUCCGGGAGGUCUUUUUAAGGGAAACUGCCCCCUAUUUAGGCG